rnacentral:rRNA from 1 species
AAACAUGUCUUUUUGAAAUUAAWUUAAAGUMAAAUYUGCUCCAUGAAAUUUAAAUAGCUGCAGAAUUUUAACUGUACAAAGGUAGCAUAAUCAAUAGUUUUUUAAUUAAAAGCUAGAAUGAAUGAUUUGAUAAGGUAAAUAUUGUCUCAAAUUUAAUGAAGUUAGAAUUUUUUUUUUAGUAAAAAAACUAAAUUAAAUUUAAAAGACGAGAAGACCCUAUAGAAUUUUAUAUUUUAAUUAAAAAGAAAUUAAAUUUAUUAAUAAAUUUUUAAUAAAAAAUAUUUGAUUGGGGAAAUUAUUAAAUUAUUUAAAUUUUAAUAAAUUUAAGCCAAUAAUUAUUGAAUUUUUGAACUUAAUUAUAAAUUUAGAGAAUAAAUUACCUUAGGGAUAACAGCGUAAUUUUUUUGGAGAGAUCUAAUUGAUAAAAAAGUUUGCGACCUCGAUGUUGAAUUAAGAUUAAAUUUUAAUGAAGAAGUUAAAAAUUUUUGGUCUGUUCGACCAUUAAAAUCUUACGUGA